AGUGCGAGGGCAUAUUAGCCCUCGCUUUUCUCGACUCUAAGGUGGUCGACGAAUAAGAGCUGGGCAAGACCGGUGCCAGCCGCCGCGGUAAUACCGGCAGCUCAAGUGAUGUCCCAUAUUAUUGGGCCUAAAGCGUCCGUAGCUUGCCGACCAAGUCUAUCGGGAAAUCCACCUGCCCAACAGGUGGGCGUCCGGUAGAAACUGGCCGGCUUGGAACCGGAAGGCUCAGAGAGUACGUCCGGGGUAGGAGUGAAAUCCCGUAAUCCCGGACGGACUACCGAUGGCGAAAGCACUCUGAGAAAACGGAUUCGACAGUGAGGGACGAAAGCUCGGGUCUCAAACCGGAUUAGAUACCCGGGUAGUCCGAGCCGUAAACAAUGCUCGUUAGGUGUGACACCCACUACAAGUGGGUGUUGCGCCGCAGGGAAGCCGCUAAACGAGCCGCCUGGGAAGUACGUCCGCAAGGAUGAAACUUAAAGGAAUUGGCGGGGGAGCACUACAACCGGAGGAGCCUGCGGUUUAAUUGGACUCAACGCCGGACAUCUCACCAGCCCCGACAUCAGUAAUGACAGUCAUGUUGACGACAUCCGCCCGAGCUGAUGAGAGGAGGUGCAUGGCCGCCGUCAGCUCGUACCGUGAGGCAUCCUGUUAAGUCAGGCAACGAGCGAGAUCCACAUCCCUAAUUGCCAGCACCAUCGCACGAUGGGUGGGUACAUUAGGGAGACUGCCAGUGCUAAACUGGAGGAAGGAAUGGGCAACGGUAGGUCAGUAUGCCCCGAAUGGGCUGGGCAACACGCGGGCUACAAUGGCGAGGACAACGGGUUCCAACACUGAAAAGUGACGGUAAUCUCGCAAACCUCGUCGUAGUUCGGAUUGUGGGCUGAAACUCGCCCGCAUGAAGCUGGAUUCGGUAGUAAUCGCGUUUCAGAAGAGCGCGGUGAAUACGUCCCUGCUCCUUGCACACACCGCCCGUCAAAGCACCCGAGUGAGGUCCGGAUGAGGCCGCAUCACUGCGGUCGAAUCUGGGCUUCGCAAGGGGGCUUAA
rnacentral:rRNA from 1 species